GACAUCAGGAGGUUAGUGCAAUGGCAUAAGCCAGCUUGACUGCGAGCGUGACGGCGCGAGCAGGUGCGAAAGCAGGUCAUAGUGAUCCGGUGGUUCUGAAUGGAAGGGCCAUCGCUCAACGGAUAAAAGGUACUCCGGGGAUAACAGGCUGAUACCGCCCAAGAGUUCAUAUCGACGGCGGUGUUUGGCACCUCGAUGUCGGCUCAUCACAUCCUGGGGCUGAAGUAGGUCCCAAGGGUAUGGCUGUUCGCCAUUUAAAGUGGUACGCGAGCUGGGUUUAGAACGUCGUGAGACAGUUCGGUCCCUAUCUGCCGUGGGCGCUGGAGAACUGAGGGGGGCUGCUCCUAGUACGAGAGGACCGGAGUGGACGCAUCACUGGUGUUCGGGUUGUCAUGCCAAUGGCACUGCCCGGUAGCUAAAUGCGGAAGAGAUAAGUGCUGAAAG
rnacentral:rRNA from 1 species